GACGAACGCUGGCGGCGUGCUUAACACAUGCAAGUCGAACGGAAAGGCCCUGCUUUUGUGGGGUGCUCGAGUGGCGAACGGGUGAGUAACACGUGAGUAACCUGCCCUUGACUUUGGGAUAACUUCAGGAAACUGGGGCUAAUACCGGAUAGGAGCUCCUGCUGCAUGGUGGGGGUUGGAAAGUUACGGCGGUUGGGGAUGGACUCGCGGCUUAUCAGCUUGAUGGUGGGGUAGUGGCUUACCAAGGCUUUGACGGGUAGCCGGCCUGAGAGGGUGACCGGCCACAUUGGGACUGAGAUACGGCCCAGACUCGUACGGGAGGCAGCAGUGGGGAAUAGUGCACAAGGGGCGGAAGCCUGAUGCAGCAACGCCGCGUGCGGGAUGACGGCCUUCGGGUUGUAAACCGCUUUCGCCUGUGACGAAGCGUGAGUGACGGUAAUGGGUAAAGAAGCACCGGCUAACUACGUG
rnacentral:rRNA from 1 species